AGGAGCUUGCUCCUUGGGUGACGAGUGGCGGACGGGUGAGUAAUGUCUGGGAAACUGCCCGAUGGAGGGGGAUAACUACUGGAAACGGUAGCUCGCAUAACGUCGCAAGACCAAAGAGGGGGACCUUCGGGCCUCUUGCCAUCGGAUGUGCCCAGAUGGGAUUAGCUAGUAGGUGGGGUAACGGCUCACCUAGGCGACGAUCCCUAGCUGGUCUGAGAGGAUGAACGGCCACAUUGGGAUUGAGACACGGCCCAAACUCCUACGGGAGGCAGCAGUGGGGAAUCUUCCGCAAUGGACGAAAGUCUGACGGAGCAACGCCGCGUGAGUGAUGAAGGUCUUCGGAUUGUAAAGCUCUGUUAAUCGGGACGAAAGAGCCUAGUGUGAAUAAUGCUAGGAAGUGACGGUACCGGAAUAGAAAGCCACGGCUAACUACGUGCCAGCAGCCGCGGUAAUACGUAGGUGGCAAGCGUUGCCCGGAAUUAUUGGGCGUAAAGCGCGCGCAGGCGGAUCUGCCAGUCUGUCUUAAAAGUUCGGGGCUUAACCCCGUGAUGGGAUGGAAACUACAGAUCUAGAGUAUCGGAGAGGAAAGUGGAAUUCCUAGUGUAGCGGUGAAAUGCGUAGAUAUUAGGAAGAACACCAGUGGCGAAGGCGACUUUCUGGACGAA
rnacentral:rRNA from 1 species